GGAUGGCCUUCAUGAGUGAGUCACUGAAUCACUCAUUAAUUAAAUUUGUUGAGGCAUGAAUAAAGUGGCUGUAGAGUCAGUGAAAGUGAAAAAGUGAAAGUGAAAGUGACGUGACAUACAGCCAAGUAUGGUUACCCAUACUCGGAAUUCGUGCUCUGCCUUUAACCCAUCCAAAGUGCACACACACAGCAGUGAACACACACACACUAUGAACACACACCCGGAGCAGUGGGCAGCCAUUUAUGCUGCAGCGCCCGGGAAGCAGUUGGGGGUUCGGUGCCUUGCUCAAGGGCACCUCACUCGUGUUAUUGAGGGUGGAGAGAGCGCUGUACAUUUACUCCCCCCACCUACAAUUCCUGCCGGCCCAAGAUUCAAACUCACAACCCUAGGAACGCGGGUAUCUGUGCAGAAACAUCUAGAACAUGAGCACCAGGGAAAGAGUGAGUGUGGACAUUACCUUCAGCUAAUGUAGCACGGAUGUGCCGGACAAAGGAGUCUCAGACGAUCACAGCAUUACGUUCCAUCUCGCAGAGGGGAACGAAGCGGUUCCAGGUGGAGAUCUCGAAGAUCGGAUGGGGAGAGGCUGUCGCCCAGGGCCUGGCUCGUGCACCCUGGGUCCGUGGUAUCCUGGCACCGGAGUGAAGGACAUCUGGGAAGAAUGAAGCGGUUGUAUUUAUGAGUGAGUCAUUGAAUCAUUCAUUCAACCCAUUUGUUCAGAAAUCCCGUUUGCUUCAGGAAAACACUACUGUGUGUUGUGGAGGUUAUGCUGUGCUUUUAUUUGCAACAUUUUAAGUUUCUGGAACAAGAACAGACAGAGUAAGUGGAAUCACUCCAAGCAAUGCAGUUAAAACACUCUGAUGAGCUUAGCAACCUCACAGCAACACCCUUCAUGCUGGCAACUUCAUCAUCACUAAUUUUUGUCACUCAGGAAAUAUCUAAUUUAUUUGUUUUAUCUGUACAUUUAUUGCCCACAUAUUCAGUAUUUUGCCCAUAACUCUUGACUUUGACCAGAGUCUGUAUUUAUCCUAAACACCUCUGAAUAGCAUUUGCAAUUUCAUAGCAUUUGCUUAUUUUUGCUGUGUCAUGCUUGUGUACUGAAGUGAGCUGAGUGAUACAUUUUUUUUGUGUGUGUUUGAUUUCUGUAUGAUAGUGACUGUUUACAUGUAAAGCGUAAAAAUGGUCCUCAUAACUCAUAGAGUCAAAAUAGUGGUAGAUACUGUUUACACCAAGUAUAAAUAGCAAAAAAUACCAUCUAGAUUACACUGAUUGCACAUACUGACAGCUGCUGUUCACAUCAAGUGUAAAGAGAAUUCACAUGCUGUUUGGA
ensembl:lncRNA